rnacentral:rRNA from 1 species
UGAUGACGAGCUGCUACGGCAGCGAAGUGGAUGAUGUCAAGCUUCCAAGAAAAGCCCUAUACCCGUUAAGGCAUGACGGCCUGUACCCGAAACCGACACAGGUGGGGUGGUAGAGAAUACCGAGGGGCGCGAGAUAACUCUCUCUAAGGAACUCGGCAAAAUGGCCCCGUAACUUCGGGAGAAGGGGUGCCACCGCAAGGUGGUCGCAGUGAAGAGGCCCAGGCGACUGUUUACCAAAAACACAGGUCUCCGCUAAGUCGCAAGACGAUGUAUGGGGGCUGACGCCUGCCCAGUGCCGGAAGGUUAAGGAAGCUGGUCAGCGUAAGCGAAGCUGGCGACUGAAGCCCCGGUGAACGGCGGCCGUAACUAUAACGGUCCUAAGGUAGCGAAAUCCCAUGUCGGGUAAGUUCCGACCCGCACGAAAGGCGUAACGAUCUGGCGCUGUCUCGGAGAGAGGCUCGGCGAAAUAGAAUUGUCUGUGAAGAUGCGGACUACGUGCACCCGGACAGAAAGACCCUAUGAAGCUUUACUGUAGCUUGGUAUUGUGCCCGGGCUCUGAAUGCGCAGGAUAGGUGGGAGGCUUUGAUCCAUUGCUUGUGGGUGAUGGUGAGCCACUGGUGAGAUACCACUCUUUCAGAGCUAGGGUUCUAACGGUCACCCGUUAUCCGGGGACCGGACAGUAUCAGGUGGGCAGUUUGACUGGGGCGGUCGCCUCCUAAAAGGUAACGGAGGCGCGCAAAGGUUCCCUCAGGCUGGUUGGAAAUCAGCCGACGAGUGUAAAGGCAGAAGGGAGCUUGACUGUGAGACCUACAAGUCGAACAGGGACGAAAGUCGGCCUUAGUGAUCCGACGGUUCUGAGUGGAAGGGCCGUCGCUCAACGGAUAAAAGUUACUCUAGGAUAACAGGCUGAUCUCCCCCAAGAGUUCACAUCGACGGGGAGGUUUGGCACCUCGAUGUCGGCUCAUCGCAACCUGGGGCUGAAGUCGGUCCCAAGGGUUGGGCUGUUCGCCCAUUAAAGCGGUACGCUAGCUGGGUUCAGAACGUCGUGAGACAGCUCGGUCCAUAUCCGGUGCACGCGCAGGAACAUUGAGAGGAUUUCUCCCUAGUACGAGAGGACCGGGAGGAACGCACCUCUGGUGUACCAGUUAUCGUGCCAACGGUAAACGCUGGGUAGCCAUGUGCGGAGUGGAUAACCGCUGAAAGCAUCUAAGUGGGAAGCCCACCUCAAGAUGAGUGCUCCCAUGGCAGAAGCCAGUAAGGUCACGGGAAGAGCACCCGUUGAUAGGCUCUACGUGGAAGCGUGGCAACGCGUGAAGCGAAGGAGUACUAAUAGACCGGGGGCUUGACC